GGCAGUGUUGUAUAAUGGGUAAAUAGUUGGUCUUGUAAUCUAAAGGUCACAGGUUCGAUUCCGCUGCCG
rnacentral:tRNA from 1 species